AGGGUUUGAUCAUGGCUCAGAUUGAACGCUGGCGGCAUGCUUUACACAUGCAAGUCGAACGGUAACAGGCCGCAAGGUGCUGACGAGUGGCGAACGGGUGAGUAAUGUAUCGGAACGUGCCCAGUCGUGGGGGAUAACGCAGCGAAAGCUGCGCUAAUACCGCAUACGAUCUAUGGAUGAAAGCGGGGACCGUAAGGCCUCGCGCGAUUGGAGCGGCCGAUAUCAGAUUAGGUAGUUGGUGGGGUAAAGGCUCACCAAGCCAACGAUCUGUAGCUGGUCUGAGAGGACGACCAGCCACACUGGGACUGAGACACGGCCCAGACUCCUACGGGAGGCAGCAGUGGGGAAUUUUGGACAAUGGGCGCAAGCCUGAUCCAGCAAUGCCGCGUGCAGGAAGAAGGCCUUCGGGUUGUAAACUGCUUUUGUACGGAACGAAACGGUCCUGGUUAAUACCUGGGGCUAAUGACGGUACCGUAAGAAUAAGCACCGGCUAACUACGUGCCAGCAGCCGCGGUAAUACGUAGGGUGCAAGCGUUAAUCGGAAUUACUGGGCGUAAAGCGUGCGCAGGCGGUUUU
rnacentral:rRNA from 1 species